CAGUAGCCGCGGGAAUACGUAGGGUCCGAGCGUUGUCCGGAAUUACUGGGCGUAAAGAGCUCGUAGGUGGUUUGUCGCGUUGUUCGUGAAAACUCACAGCUCAACUGUGGGCGUGCGGGCGAUACGGGCAGACUAGAGUACUGCAGGGGAGACUGGAAUUCCUGGUGUAGCGGUGGAAUGCGCAGAUAUCAGGAGGAACACCGGUGGCGAAGGCGGGUCUCUGGGCAGUAACUGACGCUGAGGAGCGAAAGCGUGGGGAGCGAACAGGAUUAGAUACCCCGGUAGUCCCUGUCUCUUAUAC
rnacentral:rRNA from 1 species